rnacentral:lncRNA from 10 species
UUCAUCUGCAGCGUAGGAACAACGGCAGUUCCCUCCUCAGAACAGUUUUGUCCAUGCCUGCAUAAGUAUUAAUACUUGUUUUGCACCAGAGCGUGGAGACUGCAUUGUAUCAAAGGGCUUUUGGGAGACCAGAAGGAUGGAAAAGGAAAAUCUGGAUAUUUUAGCUCUGCUGAUUGGCUGCCCUGGCAACAGACCAAAUGACUCCAAAAAUAACUCUCCAGCUCUGACCCGUCUCCUGAACUUCAGAUGCAUCUGUCCGUGUGCCUACUUAACAGCUCCACUUUGAUGACGAACCAACAUUAUAUUUAACAUGUUUAAAAUGGAACUGUUAAUUCAGUUCCAUUCCACCACCAAACCCAUCCCUCCACCUGUCUUCCUCAUCUCAUCCAUUGCUCAACCUUGUCAUGAAGUCAUCUCCAAUCCUCCCUCUCCAUUGCCUUUCACAUUCAGUCCCCAAGCAAGUCCUGUCACUUCCAAUUUUAGGCUCACCUCCCGUUAGUCAAUUUCUCUCCAUCUCUGCUGGCACCACCUAGCUUAGAUUACCCAUUGACUCUGGGUUUACUGCAAUAACCUCACAUCUGAAUUUUCUGAUUAUUUGCUUUCCCCUUGUCUACUUGCUCCACGGAAGUCAUUGUGAUUUCUUAAAAUGUAAAUCUUGUAUUUGCUUGGUGUAAUUUGCAAUCUGGGCAGUGAGACAUCUGAGAGUCUCUACCUCUGCAAUGUCGUCCCAUUGUUUAAAUAAAUCCCAAAGUCUCCACUGUGACCAGUAUCCCUGUGUAAUCUGUCUCCUGCCCAUACCUCCAGCAUUGUCCCAUGUCCCAUUGCUCACACUCUCCAGCCCCACUGGUUCCCUACCAUUUCCUGAACCUUCCAUGCUCCUUCAUACCUUAAAGUUUGGCAUAAUAGGUUCCCUCCAACAAGAAGGUAUUUCCCAGGCUCUUUGAAACUUCCAGAUGUCAGCCCAAAUGUUCCUGUUUCAGAAAGGCUACUAGCUUACCAUUCUGUCUAGCUAGCAGCACUUCAUUAUUAACUCUGUGAAGAUCUCUAUCCUAGCAAUCCCCAUUAUUUGUGCACUGUUUUUAUUUUCUUCAGAGCACUCAUCACAUUUGAAAUUCUUUCUUCCUUCCUCCCUCCCUCCCUCCCCUGUAUCACUCCCACCUUUCUUUCCUUUCUAUCUGUCCUCAUCAGACUGUACCCUCACCACAAGGGUGAGGACCACUUUUACCAAUGCUUACUAAUGUUUGCUCAGUGCCCACACAGUGCUUGAAAUAUAGUGUGCGCUCAGGAAUAUGUGUGGAAUAAACAAAGGCAUAGCCUUCUUUGAAAUGAACAAAUGUUCAUCUGGAAACUCUGGACUGGGCUUCCUUAGGAUAUGGGUGGUUUCCUUAAAAGGAUAGGCAAUCUUUAUGUUCAAGUUGUGACUUUUCUGGCAGCUUCAUUUUUCCUCUGGCUUCAAGGUAUGCAACACCUGGGAUAUCCUCUAUGUCCUUCUUGAUGUAUGAUUUGGGGACAUCCUCUAUGUCCUUUUUGAAGUAUGAUUGGGGGAAUGAGGAACUAGCUAAAGUUUUUGAGAAAAUGUUACAUGUAUAUAUCACACACACACACACGUUUUUGAGACAGGGUCUUGCUCUGUCCCUCAGGCUGGAGUGCAAUGGCGCCAUCACAGCUCACUGUAGACUCUUCCUCUUGGGCUCAAGUGAUUCUCACAUUUCAGCCUCCUGAGUACUUAACAGGUAUGUGUUAUCACACCCAGCUAAUUAAAAAAAAUUUUUUUUUGUAGAGACCAAGUCUCAUUACGUUGCCAAGGCAAUAUAUACCCAGGUCUUGAAUUCUUGUUCUCAAGUGGUCUUCCUGCCUUGCACCCCCAAAGUAUUAGGGUAACAUGUGUGAGUCACUGGAACCCCAAGAAAAUGUUUUAAGAGGCCAUUUUGAUGUAAAGGAUGGAUGCGAGGCUCCAGAGCAAGACCUGGAAGGAGGCUGUUGGAGUGACCUAGGAACUUUGCCUCAUCCUAGUCCUGGCUCUGCUUCAAGGGGGAGGUAAAUUAUAAUUCUUGUUUCAUGAUACCCUCAUCAUUGAAGAAGGCCAAGACAUCCUCAAGGUCCUCAACAUUGGAGCCCAGGAAUGGGAAUAUUGAAGCUGAAGCACCUCUAUUUUUUAUAUAUUAUGGAUCUACCUACUGCUAUGGAAGAUGAUGCUCUAGCUCUCUUACAGCUCCUUCUACCUGCCAUCCAUAUUUCUCCGCCUCACAUCCUCCUAUUAAAGACACAUCAUAAUUUUUUGUUUUAUCAGUAUUCAGCAUUUAUAUUAUUAUGACCAAAUGAGCAUUAUUCAUAAUUGGGCCAUGUAAUAUAUCAUAAUCAUAUUUCCUGUCUUGUACAGCUUUUUGUUUUCCGUGGAGGUUUUUAAUAUAUAUUUUUUAAUUUUUAAUUUUUGUGGGUAUGUAGUAGGUGUAUAUAUUUACAGGGUACAUGAGAUGUUUUGACAUAGGCAUGCAAUGUGUAACAAUCACAUCAUGGAAAAUGGGGUAUCCAACCCCUCGAACAUUUAUCCUUCAUGUUACAAAUAAUCCAAUUACACUCUUUUAGCUAUUUUAAAAUGUACAAUUAAAUUAUUGUUGACUGUCAUCAUGCUGUUCUUUUAAUGGUGUCAUUAUUUUCAUUUGCUUCAUUUUCUAUGAACUUAUGACAAACUCAUCCCCAAGCUUUCUGCCAGAUUUCCUUCAUGUUUGAAAC